rnacentral:rRNA from 1 species
UACGGAGGGAGCUAGCGUUGUCCGGAAUUAUUGGGCGUAAAGAGCUCGUAGGCGGUUUGUCGCGUCUGCUGUGAAAACUGGAGGCUCAACCUCCAGCCUGCAGUGGGUACGGGCAGACUAGAGUGCGGUAGGGGAGAUUGGAAUUCUUGGUGUAGCGGUGAAAUGCGUAGAUAUCAAGAGGAACGCCAGUGGCGAAAGCGGCUCUCUGGACAACUCCUGACCCUGAGGCACGAAAGCGUGGGGAGCAAACAGG